UCAGUCGACUCCUACGGGGAGGCAGCAGUGGGGGAAUAUUGCACAAUGGGCGCAAGCCUGAUGCAGCCAUGCCGCGUGUGUGAAGAAGGCCUUCGGGUUGUAAAGCACUUUCAGUCGUGAGGAAGGUAGUGUAGUUAAUAGCUGCAUUAUUUGACGUUAGCGACAGAAGAAGCACCGGCUAACUCCGUGCCAGCAGCCGCGGUAAUACGGAGGGUGCGAGCGUUAAUCGGAAUUACUGGGCGUAAAGCGCAUGCAGGUGGUUUGUUAAGUCAGAUGUGAAAGACCCGGGGCUCAACCUCGGAAUUGCAUUUGAAACUGGCAGACUAGAGUACUGUAGAGGGGGGUAGGAAUUUCAGGUGUAGCGGUGAAAUGCGUAGAGAUCUGAAGGAAUACCGGUGGCGAAGGCGGCCCCCUGGACAGAUACUGACACUCAGAUGCGAAAGCGUGGGGAGCAAACAGGAUUAGAUACCCUGGUAG
rnacentral:rRNA from 1 species